rnacentral:rRNA from 1 species
AUUGAACGCUGGCGGCAUGCCUUACACAUGCAAGUCGAACGGCAGCACGGGUGCUUGCACCUGGUGGCGAGUGGCGAACGGGUGAGUAAUACAUCGGAACAUGUCCUGUAGUGGGGGAUAGCCCGGCGAAAGCCGGAUUAAUACCGCAUACGAUCUACGGAUGAAAGCGGGGGACCUUCGGGCCUCGCGCUAUAGGGUUGGCCGAUGGCUGAUUAGCUAGUUGGUGGGGUAAAGGCCUACCAAGGCGACGAGCAGUAGCUGGUCUGAGAGGACGACCAGCCACACUGGGACUGAGACACGGCCCAGACUCCUACGGGAGGCAGCAGUGGGGAAUUUUGGACAAUGGGCGAAAGCCUGAUCCAGCAAUGCCGCGUGUGUGAAGAAGGCCUUCGGGUUGUAAAGCACUUUUGUCCGGAAAGAAAUCCUUGGCUCUAAUACAGUCGGGGGAUGACGGUACCGGAAGAAUAAGCACCGGCUAACUACGUG